AAAGUUAGCAGCAUAUAUGGGAGGAGGAGUUUGAGCAGUGGAGUCCCCUAACUUGGUCUGGUUUAAUAAAUUCAUCAACUGGUCAUAAUCUUGUCUGCUUAACCCUGGUAUCACAGAGCUCUGGCCAUCUAUUUUUGCAACAGGUUGAUGGCUUUUAGGAGGAUUCCCUUGGGGAACAGACAUAUGUCCUUCAGAAUGAGGAAAAUCCAGACCAGCACUAAGAUGAGCAGCAGCAGGUCUCCUCCCCUGCUUUUAGGAGGAUUCCCUUGGGGAACAGACAUAUGUCCUUCAGAAUGAGGAAAAUCCAGACCAGCACUAAGAUGAGCAGCAGAAGGUCUCCUCCCCUUGUUAAAAUUUGUACUUUGUGGAUACCCAUGGAUCUUGAAACACUUAUCAAUUAAGUGUCCAGAUCUUAUACAGUAUCUACAGAAUAAGGGUCCUUUGGCCUGAUCAAAAUUGACUCUCUGUCUGAAAGGAGAAGGAGGAAUAGGCAUUGUGGCCUUGUUAAAUCUAACAGGCUGCCUAUUAGUAUGGACAUUGAAAGAGACAGAGUCAGGAUUAAAGUGAGAAGGAGACUGGACUUGUCUUUGCUUCUCAUCAUUGAGGACCAUAUUAUAGACAUUGUCAAGAGUUGGAGGAGGCUGCAUCAUCAAAAGAUUACUCCUUACCCCCAUAUAUGCUUCAUUCAAACCCAUUAAAAACUGAAAGACCUUAUUGUCAUCACUUUCCUGUACUAUGCCAUCUUUGGCAACACAAACACAUCUUAGACCAUGAU
rnacentral:lncRNA from 1 species